GUUUGAUCCUGGCUCAGAGUGAACGCUGGCGGCGUGCCUAAUACAUGCAAGUCGAACGCGAAAGUCCUUCGGGAUGAGUAAAGUGGCGCACGGGUGAGUAAUGGUUGAGAACAUGCCCUGAAGUGGGGAAUAACAGUUGGAAACGACUGCUAAUACCGCAUGGCAUCGAAAGAUUAAAGGUGGGGAUCGCAAGACCUACCGCUUCAGGAUUGGCUCAACUCCCAUUAGCUAGUUGGUAGGGUAAUGGCCUACCAAGGCAACGAUGGGUAUGUGGUCUUAGAGGAUGAUCACACACACUGGAACUGAGACACGGUCCAGACUCCUACGGGAGGCAGCAGUAGGGAAUAUUGCACAAUGGAGGAAACUCUGAUGCAGCAACGCCGCGUGAGUGAAGAAGGCCCUUGGGUCGUAAAGCUCUUUAGCCUGGAAAGAAGUGCCAUCCUGUGAAUAAUUGGGUGGUGUGACGGUACCAGGAGAAUAAGGACCGGCUAAUUUCGUGCCAGCAGCCGCGGUAAUACGAAAGGUCCAAGCGUUACUCGGAAUUACUGGGCGUAAAGCGCGCGUAGGCGGCUUUGUAUGUCGAUUGUGAAAGCCCCGGGCUCAACCUGGGAACUGCAGUCGAAACUGCAAAGCUUGAAUGUUGGAGGGGUUGGGGGAAUACCUAGUGGAGAAGUGAAAUUCGUAGAGAUUAGGUGGAACACCAGAGGCGAAGGCGCCUGACUGGCCAAACAUUGACGCUGAGGCGCGAGAGCGUGGGUAGCAAACAGGAUUAGAUACCCUGGUAGUCCACGCCGUAAACUAUGGACACUAGCCGUUCGAAGCAUUAACCCUUUGAGUGGCAAAGCUAACGCAUUAAGUGUCCCGCCUGGGAAGUACGGUCGCAAGACUAAAACUCAAAGGAAUUGACG
rnacentral:rRNA from 1 species